UACGUAGGGUGCAAGCGUUAAUCGGAAUUACUGGGCGUAAAGCGUGCGCAGGCGGUUAUGCAAGACAGAUGUGAAAUCCCCGGGCUUAACCUGGGAACUGCAUUUGUGACUGCAUAGCUAGAGUACGGUAGAGGGGGAUGGAAUUCCGCGUGUAGCAGUGAAAUGCGUAGAUAUGCGGAGGAACACCGAUGGCGAAGGCAGUCCCCUGGACCUGUACUGACGCUCAUGUGCGAAAGCGUGGGGAGCAAACAGG
rnacentral:rRNA from 1 species